CGUGUUGCCGAGGCUAAAGCGCGGUCACUAGCUGCAGGACAGUCAACGACCGCCCAUGAUUCAGGGCAGAUUCGCAUUGAUACAUAUAGGGUACUAAAAAGUUAUAUAAGUAUUCGUUUCUGAAAACGAACAUAAAUUCACUCUGACGGGAAUUAAGCAGGGGUUAAACCCAGAGAAUGAUACUUCAGGAUAUGUAUGAAGGGAUACGCAAGCCUGGCCACACUCUCGACGAUUUUGACGAAAAAAAAUGUGGCCUAGGGCAGGAAGCAGAAAGAAGUUGUGCGGACAGUGAAGCGAAUCCUAACGACGAAACCGAUUCUGGCUAUUUUCGAUAGCUCGAAGCGAACUGAAAUGGAUAUGAACGGCAGUUCCUUGGGAUUAGGGGCGAUAUUGUUCCAGUACUCGAUCUACGGGACGCGUCAGGGUCGUUAAGGAUUGCAACGCAUUGAGAACAACGUUUACGAAGGAUUUGAUUCCCAGGAUUGGGCGGUGGUGGCUAAAGAUAUCACCGAAGCUGAUUGGAUUUUGAUGCCACAGAUGAAGGCCAAGCAGUUGGAACAGGUGCGAAAAAUCUUAAUGGACAACGUUCGUAACAGCGAGACGAAGCAGUAUUUUACGAACUAUGUCUUGAAGAAAGGGAGAGUUUGCAGACGUCUGGAAGAUGGGAGAGCGCCAUGGGUGUACCACGUGCAGCGCGUUUAUAAUUCCCGAUUUUCCAGUAAUGUGUAUCAUACUUUUCCCUGAUUUGAACAUUUUAUUCGUAUUAUUAGGAUAUUUAAAAUUUUUAUUACACUUUCACGACACUAGAAAGUU